rnacentral:rRNA from 7 species
CCGUAGGGUGAACCUGCGGAAGGAUCAUUA